rnacentral:rRNA from 1 species
GUUGAACGCUGGCGGCGUGCCUAAUACAUGCAAGUCGAGCGAGCAGACGAGGAGCUUGCUCCUCUGACGUUAGCGGCGGACGGGUGAGUAACACGUGGAUAACCUACCUAUAAGACUGGGAUAACUUCGGGAAACCGGAGCUAAUACCGGAUAAUAUAUUGAACCGCAUGGUUCAAUAGUGAAAGACGGUUUUGCUGUCACUUAUAGAUGGAUCCGCGCCGCAUUAGCUAGUUGGUAAGGUAACGGCUUACCAAGGCAACGAUGCGUAGCCGACCUGAGAGGGUGAUCGGCCACACUGGAACUGAGACACGGUCCAGACUCCUACGGGAGGCAGCAGUAGGGAAUCUUCCGCAAAGGGCGAAAGCCUGACGGAGCAACGCCGCGUGAGUGAUGAAGGUCUUCGGAUCGUAAAACUCUGUUAUUAGGGAAGAACAAAUGUGUAAGUAACUAUGCACGUCUUGACGGUACCUAAUCAGAAAGCCACGGCUAACUACGUG